rnacentral:rRNA from 1 species
UACAGAGGGUGCGAGCGUUGUUCGGAAUUAUUGGGCGUAAAGAGCUCGUAGGCGGCUUGUCGCGUCUGCUGUGAAAACUCAGGGCUUAACCCUGAGCUUGCAGUGGGUACGGGCAGACUAGAGUGCGGUAGGGGAGACUGGAAUUCCUGGUGUAGCGGUGAAAUGCGCAGAUAUCAGGAGGAACACCGGUGGCGAAGGCGGGUCUCUGGGCCGUAACUGACGCUGAGGAGCGAAAGCAUGGGGAGCGAACAGG